rnacentral:misc_RNA from 1 species
CCUGCUAGCGUAUCCUCGCAGUCGACCUUGCGCACCAGGCCAGCUGAGAAACCGACAGCGUGGCACGUUAUCGGCCGCUUGAUUUUCAUGCCACCACUUCACCUACUCCGAUGCGGACAGCUUAGCCAACGAGGACAAAGUGCCUCGAGUCGUUGUGCAGACAGGCUUUGAGCAUGAUGCACGCAACGUGCGCUCUGCCUUGCCCAGUCAACCGCUGCAGUAGUUCCGCAAGGACAGCUUCUUGGUGUAUCCGGGUAGCAUCUUCUUUGAUGUGUGGCAACCUAUGCGCUAACAGCUGCCCUCUGCGCUCUUGAGAACCUACUGCAUCGGUGUUAUGGUACCCCACAUCUCACUAGCGAAAAUGCUCCGACUGCCGACGAGCCUCUGCGUUCGCCAGGUGCUAUCGUGUGCCGCCAAGUCCAGGUGGCGCGUCACAGGUCUAAAGCCGCCGACCACCAUCCACCCCGAUAACGCCUCUCGGAGCAGCCAUCACGUACACUAGCUGGUCACGCCAGCAGAGCUCCGCAACCCGGCGGUGUGCCUCAUGGGCUGACGAGAAGGGAGGGGGGACAGCUGCCACACGGCGCUAAAAGAGGUAUGGAGCAUGCUUCCCCUGCUCUGGGCCGCUGAGCUCUCACCAUGGGACUCUGUAUCGCGGCUUUGCCGCAAUCAAGGCGCCUAGUGUGUGGGCUUCCGUUCACAACACCCCUGCGUCCGACGCCCGUCACACGGAAGUACUGCGGGGUUUUGCGCCCGGUGUAUCGGAAUGUGUCGCCUUAGUGCCCGACAGCUCUACAGCACGGACUACACCACGAUGCAUGUGCACCGCUGUCCACAGUGAAGGGCUGGCGAAGGAGCACAGGAGCACGAGCGCGCUGCAUCUUCAGUGCUUGAUACCCUCAACGUCACGGCGCGCAAUACAUGCUGCUCCCCUUCCACGACUGAAAUGCAUCGCGUGGAUCUCGGCCGAACUUAUCAGUACCGUGGCGCCGAGGGUCCGUACCUACUACAUCCGUAGUACCGUGAGCUUCAGCGGCGACUUUGCGAAGUUUCGGCAUCCGCUGUGGGUGCACUGACGGGGCGGCAGCUGUUCUGGACUCGUUCUUCUUCCGUUGUGUGCGCGCCACACCGCACGCGCAGACAGCGUGAGGCCGCUCUGACACCAGUUGUACUCCCGUAUGCGCCGUGGAUAGUACACGUGCGUCUGUGGAAUCAUUUUUCCUCACAGUUCCACGCCUGCACAUUGCGUUACGAACAAGGCAGCCUCAAGCUCCCUCUCCUCCCACAAAGGAAAAAGUCGUAACACACUGCUGAAUCAAGACUGUCGCAAAACUAUGAGUUGCACGUGGGAAC